rnacentral:lncRNA from 1 species
AAAAAAAUACAUUAAAUCAACACAUAGAAUCCUAAAAAAGAGCAUUUAACAAUGAGAUCCCUACACACAUAUCAUCAUCCAACUCGUAAAAAAACAAGAAAAUACAAUGAUGAUAUGUGUUUAGAACUUUCGUUCGAUACUUUUCAAAAUGAAAAAACAAAAUCAUUUCUUACACUUCUUCUUCACAUAUCUGGUACGUCAAACAUCACUUACGAAGACAAUAUGUUAUUGUUGUUGUACUUGUUAUUGGUGGUGGCAGUGGUGUUGUUGUUGGUGGUGGUUGUGUUGUUGCUGUUGUUGAGACUCUAAGCCUUAGAGAUUUAUUGUUGUUGUUGUUGUUGAGACUCUAAACCUCAAAGGUUUAUUCUUGUUGUUGUUGAGACUCUAAACCUCAGAGGUUUAUUCUUGUUGUUGUUGUUGUUAUUGUUGUUUAAACUAAGAUUGAAUGUUAUAUGUUUUUUUUAUAGAUAAGUAUGUUAUAUGUUUAUUGUUGAUGUUGAUGUAGUUUUGUUGAAAGAUUGUUAUUUUUUAGUUGUUGUUUAAUGUUUUUAUUUUUGUUGUUUUUUAGAUUGAAAUUGAAUGUUAAUAUUGUUUUUAAGUUGUUUAUGUUGUUAUUGUUGUUCUUGUUUAGUUGUUGUUAUUGAGUUUGAAAUUGAGAUUGAGAUGUUUAGUUGUUCUACUAGGCAAAGUUGUGAAAGUUAUAUGUUGUUUUAUAGCUAUUGUUAAUAUUGAGUUUGAGUUUGAGAUUAAGAUUGAGAUUAUAUUUUUUUAUUCUUUAUGUAGCUUUCAUCAAGAGGACGUUAGAGUGACAAAGAAUACAAUUUGAAUUCCUUAUAUCUAGUGUCAAUUAUUUGUUUCACUAACUUCUCUUUUAACAUAUAACCUA